rnacentral:rRNA from 1 species
GACGAACGCUGGCGGCGUGCCUAAUACAUGCAAGUAGAACGCACAGUUUAUACCGUAGCUUGCUCCACCAUAGACUGUGAGUUGCGAACGGGUGAGUAACGCGUAGGUAACCUGCCUGGUAGCGGGGGAUAACUAUUGGAAACGAUAGCUAAUACCGCAUAAUAUUAAUUAUUGCAUGAUAAUUAAUUGAAAGGUGCAAUUGCACCACUACCAGAUGGACCUGCGUUGUAUUAGCUAGUAGGUGAGGUAACGGCUCACCUAGGCGACGAUACAUAGCCGACCUGAGAGGGUGAUCGGCCACACUGGGACUGAGACACGGCCCAGACUCCUACGGGAGGCAGCAGUAGGGAAUCUUCGGCAAUGGACGAAAGUCUGACCGAGAAACGCCGCGUGAGUGAAGAAGGUUUUCGGAUCGUAAAGCUCUGUUGUAAGAGAAGAAUGGGUGUGAGAGUGGAAAGUUCACACUGUGACGGUAUCUUACCAGAAAGGGACGGCUAACUACGUG